GGAAGCAGCUCAAACGAGUAAUCAAUAAAUGCCAUAAACGAAUGGACAAGUACCAGAAGGAGCAGGAAAAGGAUCGAUUGGCUCUACAUAAGCUGCUGCGGUGGGUUUCAAAAAAGGUUCGGAGGAUGGAUCAGAG